UAGAGACUGAAGAGAUACUCCUUGCCCCUUCCACCAUGUGAGACCACAGCAAGAAGGUGCCAUCUGUGAGGAAGUUGGCCCUCACCAGAUACCAAAUCUGCUAGCAACAUGAUCUUGGAUUUCCCAGCUCCUAGAACUGAGAAAGGAAGGGGCAAGAAGAAAAACUACCAAAGGCAGGAGAGAUGGACAAGAAGGAGUUUAACCCAAGGUAGAGUGGAGAGAUACUGUUCCCAGCAUCUGGUUUACUGAAAGGAAUUCAACAAAACUGAACGGAACUGACAGGGAGAAAGAACAACAAAUAAGCACUGUUUUUGUUUGCCUUUCUAAAAAUUUGCUUUUGACUUGGGGAAUUGACAAGAGAGAGACAGUGAGAGGACAAGCACCUAGGAGGCUGUCACCACCAGGCAAUGAAGAAGAUGACUCAGCUCUGGACCUCGAAAGUGAAGGAAGCUGCCUCCUAGCUGCUGUGAGGGAAGGGGAGGGGCUGGUGUGCUACUCUCAGUCUCUGCCUGGGAGGCCACAAUGGUACAGGCUUCGAGUGAGCCUUAAAGAACAUGUGGCCAU
rnacentral:lncRNA from 1 species